AUUAUUGUGAUGUUAAUGGUUAGCAUGUCCAGCUGGCAAUUUAAAGAUCUGUGGUUCAAAUCCCAGCGAUAAUG
rnacentral:tRNA from 1 species